UGAUAUGAAAAAGAAUUCAACCCUCUGAAAUCCCAAAUAUCCCCAAUUUCUGUUUCUAGGGUUUGAUUGCACGACAAAUCUCGAAGUCGAAUCACUUCCAUCACAAAGCUAACCUGUCACAUGACCUGAUUUACAAUCAGCUUCUGUCAAUUCAGUGUUUCCACCCAAUUGUUGAUAUCUCGUGGUGUAAUUUCAGAGAUUCAUGUCGCAGGCUGAUGGAGGUGGUAGUUUGGAGGCGAAAAUUGAGUCGCUGCUCAAUGUGGAGAAGCAGAUGAGGCAAGUUGGCGACGUCGCCGGGACACGGAAGGCCGCCACCGAUAUUAUUAUGCAGCUGUGCUACGAAGCCGGCGCUUGGCAGACACUCAACCAGCAGAUUCUGCUCAUUUCCAAGCGCCGUGGACAGUUGAAACAGGUUCCCAACUUCCCGUAUAGAGGCUAUCUCUACCCACAAUUCUACGACCAAACAUGCCCACAAGCUCUACAAAUAGAGGAAACAUUUUUCAUGAUAUGCGAACUUUGUUAAACUAUUAUUUUAGGUCCGUGAACUUUGAAAAUAUUAUUUAAGGUGCGUUAACUAUGAGUUAAUAUCAAUCGAAGUAAUUUUUUACAAUUUUCAAGUUUUUCUGAACGAAAAUAGCAUCAAUGCCUUGAGGGGUAAUUUCGUCCAUUUAUUGGUUAUAAAUCUUGGCCCGAACUGUUAAGUAUAUAGUUUAUAACCACGACUUAUUUUAUCCUAUGUGUAUGUGUAUGUGUCUGUGUCUGUGUCAUCUAACAUUGCUUAUUUUAUCCUAUGUGUCUGUGUCACCCUUCUCUCUUUAUGUCGUCCUUUCGUGACCAAAGCUGUCGCUAAAGAGCCUCGCUUCUCAGCCUCCAUAUCCAGACUGUUUUGUUAAGGGAUUCUUUUGGACAACGGUGGAGGCUUAACCAGUGAGAAAACCUGAGUCCCCAACAGAUUUUCAGUACGUGGAUUUGAUGAGAUUCGUAAAAGUCUCUCCUCAAACCGUUUCUUGUGCGGAUAUUUGGACUGCACAAUUCUAAAAGGACUCUAGAGGCGCAAGUAUGAGUGGUUCAAGCAACAUCUCAGCUCCAAACAACACCUUCCAAACAGGAUGCACAAUCUUCAGCGGCGCCUUUAGUUCCGAUCAAGUCCUUGACACCAAGAAUCAAGAAUCUCUGCAGAGGACAGAUUAGGACCAGCUGUAGGACGAUAUCGGCGGAUCAAGAACCCGGAAAUGGAUGGGGCGGAAUUGAAUAUGAUUUAAUAUACUCUAUAAUAGUAAUAAAAUAUUAUUUCGUAUAUUAAUAAAUAAAUAUAUUAUAUUAUAUUAUAUUAUAAUAAAAUAAAAAUAAAAAUAAAAAUAAAAAUAAAAAUACUAGUAAUAUUCAAGUAUCACUAGUGUGACUGUGACAUCCCGCCUUCGUAUUUUCAUCUCUUUCAGAUAAUGUUCGAAUCGAUGUAGUAUGUAAACGAUGUACUUAGUAUGUUAUUAUUUUC